UACCAGCUCCGCGAGUAGUCGGGACGAUUAUUGGGCCUAAAGCGUUCGUAGCCGGUCUUACAAGUCUCUGGUUAAAUUUCAAGGCUUAACCUUGAGCGUGCUGGAGAUACUGUUAGACUAGGGGGCGGGAGAGGUUGAGGGUACUUCACGGGUAGGGGCGAAAUCCUAUAAUCCGUGAAGGACCACCAGUGGCGAAGGCGCUCAACUGGAACGCGCCCGACGGUGAGGGACGAAAGCCAGGGGAGCAAAGGGGAUUAGAUACCCCCGUAGUCCUGGCUGUAAACGAUGCGGGCUAGGUGUUGGGUUGGCUUCGUGCCAACCCGGUGCCGCAGCGAAGGCGAUAAGCCCGCCGCCUGGGAAGUACGGCUGCAAGGCUGAAACUUAAAGGAAUUGGCGGGGGAGCACCACAAGGGGUGAAGCCUGCGGUUUAAUUGGAUUCAACGCCGGA
rnacentral:rRNA from 1 species